CUCGAGAAGAGUUGCUCUAACUCUUGGUUAUUGGACCCUCCCGGAACCCAGCGCUGGCUGUACUAGUGAUUGACUGAAUAAAGAGUACAUGUCACAAGUGUGUGGAGAGGGCGCCGGGGUGGCCGGGACAGGAGAGGGCGCCGGGGCGGCCGGGACAGGAGAAACAAAACACUGAAGUCAAGAGAAACAAAACACUUGGAUAGAUCAUCACUGCCAUUCCAGGACAAAUCACUUGGAGUGUUCUAAAUUGUUUCUGCUCAACUUCACAUCUAGGUCAUUGUUUUGGCCGGCACACAAUUAAAAUGAGGCAGACAAAGCACAACCUUCCCCUUCAACCUGCACAGCACCGUGGUCAUCGCCUAAUGCAAUGCAGCCCAUUGCAGGCACAGAUGAGGGACUCAUUGGAAAGUAAUGUGUUGUAAAAUAUGAUGAAGACCCUUGCCCUGGUAUUAUACAAGAUGUAGACGAUUAUUUUGGCCAAUGAGAGAGGACAUUGUAUGGUACCAGAAAAUGUGCAUGGGCUUGUCCCUGAUCCUCAUCCAAUAACAAAACACCAUAUGAUGCUUAAUGAUGCAAUCUGGGAGAACAUUUUCUCACUUGUUAAGACAGAGAGCAUUAAGAACAAAACCUAAACAUGCAUCUCAUGAGUCUGAAUAAAUAAACUGCAGCCAGUAAACAAUAAGUUGUUUACUGUCAACUAGUGUUUCCAGCCUUGUACAUGUAUUUCUGCCUAAUGCAUUGAAUCCCAAAAUGUUUCUAAAAGAUUAUUUAAGGUCUUGAUGCAUGUAACCUUUGU